rnacentral:rRNA from 1 species
AGAGUUUGAUCCUGGCUCAGAGCGAACGCUGGCGGCGUGCUUAACACAUGCAAGUCGAGUGCGCAGUUUUCUGUAGCAAUACAGGGAACCGGCGCACGGCGCACGGGUGAGUAACACGUGGGCAACCUGCCCUACAGAGGGGGAUAACCCGCCGAAAGGCGGGCUAAUACCGCAUGAAAUUCCGGUGGCUUCGGCUGCUGGACUCAAAGUCCGCAAGGACGCUGUUGGAGGGGCCCGCGCCCGAUUAGCUAGUUGGUGAGGUAACGGCUCACCAAGGCAAUGAUCGGUAGCCGAUCUGAGAGGAUGAUCGGUCACACUGGAACUGAGACACGGUCCAGACUCCUACGGGAGGCAGCAGUGGGGAAUCUUGCGCAAUGGGCGAAAGCCUGACGCAGCGACGCCGCGUGGGGGAUGAAGCUUCUCGGAGUGUAAACCCCUUUCGACCCGGGACGAAUGUCCCGCAAGGGAUUGACGGUACGGGUAUAAGAAGCCCCGGUCUAACUACGUGCCAGCAGCCGCGGUAAGACGUAGGGGGCCAGCGUUGCUCGGAAUUACUGGGCGUAAAGGGUUCGUACGCGGUGUGGCAAGUCGGAAGUGAAAUCUCCANGCUUUAACUUGGAGGCUGCUCCCGAAACUGCCAUGCUUUGAGUGCGGGAGAGGNCANUGGAAUUGCAGGUGUAUCGGUGANAUGCCUAU